rnacentral:rRNA from 1 species
GACGAACACUGGCGGCGUGCUUAACACAUGCAAGUCGAACGAAGUGGCGAACGGGUGAGUAACGCGUAAUCAACCUGCCCUUCAGAGGGGGACAACAGUGGGAAACGACUGCUAAUACCGCAUACUGAAGGAGGGGUUUGCGUCUGAUUGGCUAGUUGGAGGGGUAACGGCCCACCAAGGCGAUGAACAGUAGCCGGGCUGAGAGGCAGAACGGCCAAAUUGGGACUGGGACACGGCCCCGACUCCUACGGGAGGCAGCAGGGGGGAAUCUUCCGCAAUGGACGGAAGUCUGACGGAGCAACGCCGCGUGAGUGUUGACGGCCUUCGGGUUGUAAAGCUCUGUUAAUCGGGACGCGGUACCGGAAUAGAAAGCCACGGCUAACUACGUGCCAGCAGCCGCGGUAAUUC